UAUGUGAUCGUCUCUCGCAUAUCAAUAAGCGGAGGAAAAGAAACUAACAAGGAUUCCCCUAGUAACGGCGAGUGAAGCGGGAAGAGCUCAAAUUUGAAAUCUUAAAGGGUUUCCCUUUACGAAUUGUAGUUUAAAGAAGUGUUUUCUGUUGAGGUUUUGGUAAAAGUUCUUUGGAAUAGGACAUCAUAGAGGGUGAGAAUCCCGUAUUUGACCUUUACUUUCAACUUUGUGAUACACUUUCAAAGAGUCGAAUUGUUUGGGAAUGCAGUCCAAAAUGGGUGGUAAAUUUCAUCUAAAGCUAAAUAUUGGCGAGAGACCGAUAGCGAACAAGUACCGUGAGGGAAAGAUGAAAAGAACUUUGAAAAGAGAGUUAAACAGUACGUGAAAUUGUCAAAAGGGAAGCGUUUGACACCAGUGUUGUUUUUCUGAAAAUCAAUUAAAGAACUGUUUAUGCUAAGUUGUUUAGACUUUAUCAGCUAACUGUUUAGUUUUGAGCUUUUCUUUGAUGCACUUUUCAGUUAACAAGUCAACAUCAAUUUCUUUUGCUGUAAAAAAGCUUGAGGAAGGUGGCUUGAGAUUCGUCUUAAGUGUUUAUAGCCUCUUGCCUAUGCAGUCGGAGAGAUUGAGGUCUGCAGCGUAGAUCCUUCGGGGCUAAAUGCAUUUGUGCUAAGUUAUAGCAUUUUAUAGACAACUUGUUGACUAUGAUUUGUCUUGUAGCUUACUCGCUUAUGUUAUUUUACCUACGCUUAGGAUGUUGAACGCGCACAGAGUCUC
rnacentral:rRNA from 1 species